GUCCAGACUCCUACGGGAGGCAGCAGUGGGGAAUAUUGCACAAUGGGGGAAACCCUGAUGCAGCAACGCCGCGUGGGUGAAGGAGCGUUUCGGCGCGUAAAGCCCUGUCAGCGGGGAAGAAGAAAGACGGUACCCGACCAAGAAGCCCCGGCUAACUACGUGCCAGCAGCCGCGGUAAUACGGAGGGUGCAAGCGUUACUCGGAAUCACUGGGCGUAAAGAGUGCGUAGGCGGGGUAAUAAGUCAGAUGUGAAAUCCUGUAGCUUAACUACAGAACUGCAUUUGAAACUGUUACUCUGGAGUGUGGGAGAGGUAGGUGGAAUUCUUGGUGUAGGGGUAAAAUCCGUAGAGAUCAAGAGGAAUACUCAUUGCGAAGGCGACCUGCUGGAACAUUACUGACGCUGAUGCACGAAAGCGUGGGGAGCAAACAGGAUUAGAUACCCGCGUAU
rnacentral:rRNA from 1 species